rnacentral:tRNA from 1 species
GGGAAGUUGGCUCAGUGGUAGAGCGCUUGCUUUGCAUGCAUGAAGCCCUGGGUUUGAUUCCUCAGUACCA